UGGGGAAUAUUGGACAAUGGGCGCAAGCCUGAUCCAGCAAUGCCGCGUGUGUGAAGAAGGCCUUCGGGUUGUAAAGCACUUUUAUCAGGAGCGAAACGCUGUCGGCUAAUACCCGGCGGAACUGACGGUACCUGAGGAAUAAGCACCGGCUAACUUCGUGCCAGCAGCCGCGGUAAUACGAAGGGUGCAAGCGUUAAUCGGAAUUACUGGGCGUAAAGCGUGCGUAGGCGGUUUCUUAAGUCUGCUGUGAAAUCCCCGGGCUCAACCUGGGAAUGGCAGUGGAUACUGGGAGGCUAGAGUGUGUCAGAGGGUGGUGGAAUUCCCGGUGUAGCGGUGAAAUGCGUAGAGAUCGGGAGGAACAUCAGUGGCGAAGGCGGCCACCUGGGACAACACUGACGCUGAGGCACGAAAGCGUGGGGAGCAAACAGGAUUAGAUACCCUGGUAGUCCACGCCCUAAAACGAUGCGAACUGGAUGUUGGUCUCAACUCGGAGAUCAGUGUCGAAGCUAACGCGUUAAGUUCGCCGCCUGGGGAGUACGGUCGCAAGACUGAAACUCAAAUGAAUUGACGGGGUCAUAGCUG
rnacentral:rRNA from 1 species